GCGAGCAUCGCGACGGGGGGACCCCAAGUGCCACUCUUAACGGGGUGGCUUUUCAUAAGUGUAAAAAGCUUUUGGAAUAAGAGCUGGGCAAGACCGGUGCCAGCAGCCGCGGUAA
rnacentral:rRNA from 1 species